rnacentral:rRNA from 1 species
UAGGGAAUUUUCCACAAUGGACGAAAGUCUGAUGGAGCAACGCCGCGUGUGCGAAGAAGGUUUUCGGAUUGUAAAGCACUGUUGUAAGGGAAGAAUAACCUAAAGAGGAAAUGCUUUAGAGAUGACGGUACCUUACCAGAAAGCCACGGCUAACUACGUGCCAGCAGCCGCGGUAAUACGUAGGGACCGAGCGUUGUCCGGAAUCAUUGGGCGUAAAGAGCGUGUAGGCGGCUUGGUAGGUCUCGUGUG